AGUGAACGCUGGCGGUAGGCCUAACACAUGCAAGUCGAACGGCAGCACAGUAAGAGCUUGCUCUUACGAGUGGCGAGUGGCGGACGGGUGAGGAAUACAUCGGAAUCUACUUUUUCGUGGGGGAUAACGUAGGGAAACUUACGCUAAUACCGCAUACGACCUACGGGUGAAAGCAGGGGAUCUUCGGACCUUGCGCGAUUGAAUGAGCCGAUGUCGGAUUAGCUAGUUGGCGGGGUAAAGGCCCACCAAGGCGACGAUCCGUAGCUGGUCUGAGAGGAUGAUCAGCCACACUGGAACUGAGACACGGUCCAGACUCCUACGGGAGGCAGCAGUGGGGAAUAUUGGACAAUGGGCGCAAGCCUGAUCCAGCCAUACCGCGUGGGUGAAGAAGGCCUUCGGGUUGUAAAGCCCUUUUGUCGGGAAAGAAAAGCAGCAGGUUAAUACCCCGCUGUUCUGACGGUACCCAAAGAAUAAGCACCGGCUAACUUCGUG
rnacentral:rRNA from 1 species